GCCCAAAACAUAACUUUAUGCUCUCUUUUCCUCUCACACACUUCCCCAAUCUCCUAUAAAAUGCACCUGCAUAUUUUCCUCAGUCACUCCCUGCAGCUUCAAGAUAAAAGAAAUGCAGCUAUUUUUCCUUUCCUUAUAUCCUUGCCCUACUUGUUCCGUCCUUAUAAAUAUUUUUGGAUCCUCUCCAGUGUCUAUUUACUGCUAAUAUGACAAUCAGAAUUGUCCUUGAUCCGCUAAGCACAGUCUCUCAGAAGUUUGAUAUGGGUCCUAUGUGGUUUCUCUACUUUUUAAAUUCGAUCUCUCAAAGAAAAGCCCAAUACUGCACUUACUUUCACGUAUGGUCUCAACAUUCCUCUUUUCAAACUGAUUUAUGAAUCUUUAUACAUAUUACUUAGUGCUGCAUCUCUAAAUAAAAUAAAUAUGUAUUUGUAAGUCGAGACUACCUGGUUCCUCACUUUCAUCAGUUCCAAGGAACAUCCUUGCCUAUUUUCUUAUGUGUAACACCCAGCUCUUAGUGAUGUUGCAAGUUAUGGACUUUUAGCGUAAGUGUUGAUGUUACCAGCACCAGAAUAGUGUUGGAGGAGUUACUGAGCCUGAUAUUGCAAGAACCCUCCUUUAACAGAUGCAGCUUAAGUGACAGGAGCACUUUCCAUUAACAGCUAUAUCUCAAUUCAGCUGUUACGCUUGCCAAAAUCCUGCAAAGCAGUGUCCUAAUGACGGUGUUUGAAAAAAGCAAGAAAAGAUAACAAUAGCAAAAAGGAUCACGAUUAAUAGUAAAUAUGAUAUUUGAACAUUAAGCUGCAGAUGGCAAUAUUUUGAGCAUGGCAUUUUUUUUUCCUUCUUUUAAAAGAGCCACAGAUGGUAAUGUUCCUUCUUUAACAAGCUGUACUCAUGCCAGGCCAUAAUGUGGCAUGAUAAUAAACUGAUGAUAUCAUGAUACUUCAUUCCCUGGUGACCCAGCUAACUAUUUCAUAAGGAUGUUUUUUCAAAUAUUUUUUGCUGUUGUGAAAAGUAAAUUAUAUACUAGGAAUCUCCUAUGGCUCGGGGAAUAGAGCAUCUUUCACUCGCUUCUUAUUCGCCUUCCUUGCCUUCUCCUGCAUCAUUUCCCUUCUGCUUUUCUGUCCCUGGGUCUCGCUGGUUUCCUCCCACCCAUCUCCUGCUUCUCCCACUCGCGUUUCAAUUCUUUCCUCUUCUCAUUCAGCUGGUACACGCCUACAGGGGAGAACAAAUCCCAAUGACCACAUGCCGUUUCCACCUGCAACGCCACACAAGAUGCUGGAGGAUCUCAGCGGGCCAGACAGCAUCUAUGGAAGUAUAUUGGGCCGAGUCCCUUCACCUGACUUCCACCGAGAACUGCAAACCCAAUUUGUCCCACAGCCCACCUCAUAAAUUCCUAAUCCUUCCAAUUAUCUAUUUACUCACCUUCUUAGUAAUUCCUCCUUCCCUUUCACUCCAUAUCACUUAUUACCCACACACUCACCUUCCCUCCUGUCUAUCUUUACUUGCCAUACUUAUUUUCCUUGUCAGCAAGGUCAAUAUUUUUCCUACCACAACAGUCCCCUCAUUUCCCUCAAAACUGUGUUGAUUGUAUUACAUUAUCAGACAUCAGUUUAAGAAAAAUAAUCUGGCCUUCAAAAAUACAGUGCCUCAUGUGGAUUUUGGUAUGGUCAGCUGGGCAGGGAUAUGUCGGGGCAGAGUUCUCAAGUUAAAGAUUCAUAGAGUGACACCGCAAGGAAAGAGGACGAUUAACCACAUGCAUGACUACCAAGCAAUGAUCUAAUUUCAACCUGCCUGCAUUUCCACGAACUCCCUGUACAUUUUGUCACUCAGCCACACAGUUGAGUCAACUUUACAGUAACCAAUUACCGAGCACUUCUUUGGGAGGUGGGGGGAGCCUGGAGCAAGUGCAAGCUCCACGCAGCCAGCGCCAAACAUUAAACCGAGGCUGCUGGAGCUGAGGAGCAGCAUCUCUACAGGCUGCACAAUGUGCUGGACAGCACUGUGCAAAAGUCUGAGGAUAUCUGAUUAUCUCAGGCGUCCAGAAACAAUUUUAUCGGAUUUUGACACCAGGAGCUGCCAAAAGGAACUAAGAGCAAUCUGGGGACGGGGCUCCAGGGUCUGCAUUUAUCUCCUGGAGCUCGUUCUACCUACGCGGCUUGCAGCAACUGCCAGUCGCUGGGCACAAGAGAUGGGCAGCAGCAAAAAGGACUUCUAAUUUCAGAGGACAGGAUACCAUUAUGGACAUUGGUCUCCUUGGCCAUCUCAGCUCUUUGUGACUUCCUUUCCUCAUCUGCAGUGCUCUCUGGAUUCCUUCACCACCCGAACUCAACCAGAAGCAGCAACUCUCUCCAAGUAUCGCCAUCAGAAGCACAGUGGCAGAAUCUAAGUCUCCCUAAACCAUCAGAUGAGAUCCUUUACUCGGACAAAGUAAUUCACACAGAUGGUCUAAAAGGUUCUGAAGACAGAGAUUCAAGAUUUUGAGAGAAUGAAAACUACUUCAAUGAUAUUAAUUAAGACCCAUAAUAUCUGGGAAGGACAACUUUACAAUGUAGAAGUGACAGAGCUCUUCAAAUUCUCAGUUAUAUUUCAGCUGAAGAACUGAAAUGGCUUGGACCUACUGGAAACAUGUGAUUUUUGAGGCAAGUCUACAGAAAAUUGAUCUUUUAUCUACGGUGUUGCAGCAAAGUGUGGAAAGAGUCAAGCAGUGCUGGUGGUGAAGUUAAUGUUCCAAUUUCUUCAAUUUGAUGCAUAGAUACUUUGUUGUAAAAUUAUUAAGGAAAAAUUAGCAAGGGGAAAAUAAGCUUGUUUUAACUAGACAGAUUUCAAAAUCAAUUUUAAUUUCGUUUUUGGA